rnacentral:rRNA from 1 species
GUCGAGGAUUUUUCUCAAUGGGGGAAACCCUGAAGGAGCGACGCCGCGUGGGGGAUGAAGGUCUUCGGAUUGUAAACCCCUGUCAUCUGGGAACAAUGUUGCUCACCUAAUACGUGCGCAAUUGAUAGUACCGGAAGAGGAAGCAGUGGCUAACUCUGUGCCAGCAGCCGCGGUAAUACAGAGACUGCAAGCGUUGUUCGGAUUCAUUGGGCGUAAAGGGUCCGCAGGCGGUCGGUUAAGUCGGAUGUGAAAUCUCACAGCCUAACUGUGAUAGGUCAUUCGAAACUAGCCGGCUAGAGGAAUGGAGAGGAAACUGGAAUUGCUGGUGUAGCAGUGAAAUGCGUAGAUAUCAGCAAGAACACCGGUGGCGAAGGCGGGUUUCUGGACAUUUCCUGACGCUCAGGGACGAAAGCCAGGGGAGCAAACGGGAUUAGAAACCCCGGUAGUCC